CGGACGGGUGAGUAAUGUCUGGGAAACUGCCUGAUGGAGGGGGAUAACUACUGGAAACGGUAGCUAAUACCGCAUAACGUCGCAAGACCAAAGAGGGGGACCUUCGGGCCUCUUGCCAUCGGAUGUGCCCAGAUGGGAUUAGCUAGUAGGUGGGGUAACGGCUCACCUGGGCGACGAUCCCUAGCUGGUCUGAGAGGAUGACCAGCCACACUGGAACUGAGACACGGUCCAG
rnacentral:rRNA from 1 species